GAUGAACGCUGGCGGCGUGCUUAACACAUGCAAGUCGAACGGUGAAGCAGAGCUUGCUCUGUGGAUCAGUGGCGAACGGGUGAGUAACACGUGAGCAACCUGCCCCGGACUCUGGGAUAAGCGCUGGAAACGGCGUCUAAUACCGGAUACGAGAUUCCACCGCAUGGUGAGUUUCUGGAAAGAUUUUUUGGUCUGGGAUGGGCUCACGGCCUAUCAGCUUGUUGGUGAGGUAAUGGCUCACCAAGGCGUCGACGGGUAGCCCGCCUGAGAGGGUGACCGGCCACACUGGGACUGAGACACGGCCCAGACUCCUACGGGAGGCAGCAGUGGGGAAUAUUGCACAAUGGGCGGAAGCCUGAUGCAGCAACGCCGCGUGAGGGAUGACGGCCUUCGGGUUGUAAACCUCUUUUAGCAGGGAAGAGGCGAAAGUGACGGUACCUGCAGAAAAAGCGCCGGCUAACUACGUGCCAGCAGCCGCAGUAACAC
rnacentral:rRNA from 1 species